UACGGAGGAUCCAAGCGUUAUCCGGAUUUAUUGGGUUUAAAGGGUGCGCAGGCGGGCAUAUAAGUCAGUGGUGAAAUCUCCCGGCUCAACUGGGAAACUGCCAUUGAUACUGUAUGUCUAGAGUUCAGAUGAGGUAGGCGGAAUGUGUCAUGUAGCGGUGAAAUGCUUAGAUAUGACACAGAACACCGAUUGCGAAGGCAGCUUACCAAACUGUUACUGACGCUCAUGCACGAAAGCGUGGGGAGCGAACAGG
rnacentral:rRNA from 1 species